CAUGUCCCGCAGCAAUGCGGGAUGAUGGCGACCGGCAAACGGGUGCGGAACACGUACAGAACCUUCCUUCGAGCGGGGGAUAGCCCAGAGAAAUUUGGAUUAAUACCCCAUAGUAUAUUGAAGAGGCAUCUCUUUAAUAUUAAAGAUUUAUCACUUGAAGAUGGCUGUGCGGCUGAUUAGGUAGUUGGCGGGGUAAUGGCCCACCAAGCCUGCGAUCAGUAACUGGUGUGAGAGCACGACCAGUCACACGGGCACUGAGACACGGACCCGACUCCUACGGGAGGCAGCAGUAAGGAAUAUUGGGCAAUGGAGGCAACUCUGACCCAGCCAUGCCGCGUGGAGGAUGAAGGCCCUCUGGGUUGUAAACUUCUUUUAUAUGGGACGAAAAAGGGCUUUUCUAAGUCAACUGACGGUACCAUAUGAAUAAGCACCGGCUAACUCCGUGCCAGCAGCCGCGGUAAUACGGAGGGUGCAAGCGUUAUCCGGAUUCACUGGGUUUAAAGGGUGCGUAGGUGGGUUGGUAAGUCAGUGGUGAAAUCUCCGGGCUUAACCCGGAAACUGCCAUUGAUACUAUCAGUCUUGAAUAUUGUGGAGGUCAGCGGAAUAUGUCAUGUAGCGGUGAAAUGCUUAGAUAUGACAUAGAACACCAAUUGCGAAGGCAGCUGGCUACACAUAUAUUGACACUGAGGCACGAAAGCGUGGGGAUCAAACAGGAUUAGAUACCCUGGUAGUCCACGCCCUAAACUAUGGAUACUCGACAUACGCGAUACACAGUGUGUGUCUGAGCGAAAGCAUUAAGUAUCCCACCUGGGAAGUACGAUCGCAAGAUUGAAACUC
rnacentral:rRNA from 1 species